rnacentral:rRNA from 1 species
UAGCUAGUUGGUGAGGUAACGGCUCACCAAGGCCACGAUGACUAGGGGGUCUGAGAGGAUGAUCCCCCACACUGGUACUGAGACACGGACCAGACUCCUACGGGAGGCAGCAGUGAGGAAUAUUGGGCAAUGGACGCAAGUCUGACCCAGCCAUGCCGCGUGCAGGAUGACUGCCCUAUGGGUUGUAAACUGCUUUUGUUUGGGAAGAAACCCCCGAUCGUGAUCGGGGCUGACGGUACCAUACGAAUAAGCAUCGGCUAACUCCGUGCCAGCAGCCGCGGUAAUACGGAGGAUGCAAGCGUUAUCCGGAUUCAUUGGGUCUAAAGGGUGCGCAGGCGGAAUAUUAAGUCAGUGGUGAAAUCCUGCAGCUUAACUGUAGAACUGCCAUUGAUACUGAUAUCCUUGAAUAUAGUUGAGGUGGGCGGAAUGUGUAAUGUAGCGGUGAAAUGCUUAGAUAUUACACAGAACACCAAUUGCGAAGGCAGCUCACUAAACUAAUAUUGACGCUGAGGCACGAAAGCGUGGGUAGCAAACAGGAUUAGAUACCCUGGUAGUCCACGCUGUAAACUAUGAUCACUCGCUGUUGGCAAUACAUCGUCAGCGGCUGAGCGAAAGCAUUAAGUGAUCCACCUGGGGAGUACGGUCGCAAGAUUGAAACUCAAAGGAAUUGACGGGGGCCCGCACAAGCGGAGGAACAUGUGGUUUAAUUCGAUGAUACGCGAGGAACCUUACCUGGGCUUAAAUGCAGAGCGACGUCCGCCGAAAGGUGGAUUCCUUCGGGCGAUCUGCAAGGUGCUGCAUGGUUGUCGUCAGCUCGUGCCGUGAGGUGUCGGGUUAAGUCCCAUAACGAGCGCAACCCUUAUCGUUAGUUGCCAGCGGGUAAUGCCGGGGACUCUAACGAAACUGCCGGUGUAAACCGUGAGGAAGGUGGGGAUGACGUCAAAUCAGCACGGCCAUUAUGUCCAGGGCUACACACGUGUUACAAUGGUCGGUACAGAGGGCAGCUACCACGCGAGUGGAUGCUAAUCUCGAAAACCGGUCUCAGUUCGGAUUGAAGUCUGCAACUCGACUUCAUGAAGCUGGAUUCGCUAGUAAUCGCGCAUCAGCCAUGGCGCGGUGAAUACGUUCCCGGGCAUUGUACACACCGCCCGUCAAGCCAUGGAAGCUCGGGGUACAUGAAGUCCGUAACCGCAAGGAGCGGCACUAGGGUAAGAC